rnacentral:rRNA from 1 species
UACGUAGGGGGCAAGCGUUGUCCGGAUUUAUUGGGCGUAAAGAGCGUGUAGGCGGCCAGACAGGUCCGUUGUGAAAACUCGAGGCUCAACCUCGAGACGCCGAUGGAAACCGUUUGGCUAGAGUCCGGAAGAGGAGAGUGGAAUUCCUGGUGUAGCGGUGAAAUGCGCAGAUAUCAGGAAGAACACCCGUGGCUAAGGCGGCUCUCUAGUACGGUACUGACGCUGAGACGCGAAAGCGUGGGGAGCAAACAGG